UGGCGAACGGGUGAGUAACGCGUAAGUAACCUGCCCCUAAGUAAAGGAUAACUCCGAGAAAUUAGAGCUAAUACUGUAUGUGGUGGUGGAGGUAAUGCUUCAUCACUAAAGCUUUAGGGCGCUUAGGGAGGGGCUUGCGUCCGAUUAGCUAGUUGGUAGGGUAAAGGUCUACCAAGGCGAUGAUCGGUAGCUGGUUUGAGAGGACAUCCAGCCACACUGGGAUUGAGAUACGGCCCAGACUCCUACGGGAGGCAGCAGCAAGGAAUUUUGUGCAAUGGGCGAAAGCCUGACACAGCGACGCCGUGUGGGGGAUGAAGGCCUUCGGGUUGUAAACCCCUUUUCUCAGGGAAGAAUAAUGACGGUACCUGAGGAAUAAGUCUUGGCUAACUACGUGCCAGCAGCCGCGGUAAUACGUAGGAGGCGAGCGUUAUCCGGAUUUACUGGGCGUAAAGAGGGCGUAGGCGGUUUUUCAAGUCGAUUGUAAAAUCUCCCGGCUUAACUGGGAGGGGCCAGUCGAUACUGUUAGACUAGAGAGCAGCAGGGGGAGGUGGAAUUCCCGGUGUAGUGGUGAAAUGUGUAGAUAUCGGGAGGAACACCAGAGGCGAAGGCGGCCUCCUAGGCUGUUUCUGACGCUGAGGUCCGAAAGCGUGGGGAGCAAACAGGAUCAGAUACCCUGGUAGUCCACGCUGUAAUCGAUGGACACUAGGUAUAGGGAGUAUCGACCCUCUCUGUGCCGAAGCUAACGCA
rnacentral:rRNA from 1 species